GACUGGGGUCUGAUUCAUUGGCUGAGUGUGGCUACCUGGCUCCAGGAGGAGCCUCUGUCUCAGUCCUGUAAUAGUCAUCAUGCUUUAAGAAACCUUCACAUUUCUGAACAGUUACAUAGUGUCCUCAGCUGAAGAAAGAGGAAGUCUGGAGUCCAUUCCGGCAGUUAGCAGGGAGCUGUUUUCUUCUCUCUGACAUUAGCAAGGCUGAAGAAGAUGGUAUGAGAAAAAAAAUGAAAAUCAUCUCUACUUGAAAGACAGGGAGUCUGAAGCAGAGUGGAAUAUCCAUGUGGGAAAGACUCGUCGGAAUGGGAAUCCUGCUUCCAAGAAAGGUAGAGCACUGCAUGAUGGAGUCUCACCCUGUCACCCUGUCGCCAGGCUGGAGUGCAGUGGCACAAUCUCGGCUAACUGCAGCCUCCGCCUCCUGGAUUCAAGCAAUUCUCCUGCCUCAGCCUCCUGAGUAGCUGGGAUUACAGGAAUAAACAACUCCAGAGAAGUUAAUAUGCACCUGCUCAUGAAUGACUAGAAAAUAGUGUGAAUUUCAGCUUGACGGCUGCAGAAACUUGGUGCUGGGGAAG